rnacentral:piRNA from 1 species
GUAUCUGACUAGGUAGCAAACAGAUUUC